UUAUCCUCUGUCGAACAACCGCAGUUUAACAGUGUACUUGUCGAAUUGCGGUUGUUCGAUAUGUACCUUUAUUGAACUUUGGUUUUCGAUGGGUGA
rnacentral:pre_miRNA from 1 species